rnacentral:rRNA from 1 species
CAGGCUUAACACAUGCAAGUCGAGGGGCAGCAUGGUCUUAGCUUGCUAAGGCCGAUGGCGACCGGCGCACGGGUGAGUAACGCGUAUCCAACCUGCCUUACACUCUUGGACAGCCUUCUGAAAGGGAGAUUAAUACAAGAUGUUAUCAUGAGUAAGCAUUUUCGCAUGAUUAAAGGUUUACCGGUGUAAGAUGGGGAUGCGUUCCAUUAGAUAGUAGGCGGGGUAACGGCCCACCUAGUCUUCGAUGGAUAGGGGUUCUGAGAGGAAGGUCCCCCACAUUGGAACUGAGACACGGUCCAAACUCCUACGGGAGGCAGCAGUGAGGAAUAUUGGUCAAUGGACGAGAGUCUGAACCAGCCAAGUAGCGUGAAGGAUGAAGGUUCUAUGGAUUGUAAACUUCUUUUAUACGGGAAUAAACGAAUCCACGUGUGGAUUUUUGCAUGUACCGUAUGAAUAAGGAUCGGCUAACUCCGUGCCAGCAGCCGCGGUAAUACGGAGGAUCCGAGCGUUAUCCGGAUUUAUUGGGUUUAAAGGGAGCGUAGAUGGGUUGUUAAGUCAGUUGUGAAAGUUUGCGGCUCAACCGUAAAAUUGCAAUUGAUACUGGCAGUCUUGAGUACAGUUGAGGUAGGCGGAAUUCGUGGUGUAGCGGUGAAAUGCUUAGAUAUCACGAAGAACUCCGAUUGCGAAGGCAGCUUACUAACCUGUAACUGACAUUGAUGCUCGAAAGUGUGGGUAUCAAACAGGAUUAGAUACCCUGGUAGUCCACACGGUAAACGAUGAAUACUCGCUGUAGGCGAUAUACAGUCUGCGGCCAAGCGAAAGCAUUAAGUAUUCCACCUGGGGAGUACGCCGGCAACGGUGAAACUCAAAGGAAUUGACGGGGGCCCGCACAAGCGGAGGAACAUGUGGUUUAAUUCGAUGAUACGCGAGGAACCUUACCCGGGCUUAAAUUGCAGCCGAAUAUGGCGGAAACGCUAUAGCUAGCAAUAGCGGUUGUGAAGGUGCUGCAUGGUUGUCGUCAGCUCGUGCCGUGAGGUGUCGGCUUAAGUGCCAUAACGAGCGCAACCCUUGCCGAUAGUUACUAACAGGUCAUGCUGAGGACUCUGUCGGGACUGCCAUCGUAAGAUGUGAGGAAGGUGGGGAUGACGUCAAAUCAGCACGGCCCUUACGUCCGGGGCUACACACGUGUUACAACGGGGGGUACAGAGGGCUGCUACCACGCAAGUGGAUGCCAAUCCCAAAAACCUCUCUCAGUUCGGAUUGAAGUCUGCAACCCGACUUCAUGAAGCUGGAUUCGCUAGUAAUCGCGCAUCAGCCACGGCGCGGUGAAUACGUUCCCGGGCCUUGUACACACCGCCCGUCAAGCCAUGGGAGCCGGGGGUACCUGAAGUGCGUAACCGCAAGGAGCGCCCUAGGGUAAAACUGGUGACUGGGGC